rnacentral:rRNA from 1 species
GAGAGUUAAACAGUACGUGAAAUUGUUGAAAGGGAAACGAUUGAAGUCAGUCAUACCAACGGGAAAUCAACCUUUUGAGCUCGGUCUCGUGGGUUUUGAAGAGUUUCAAAGCCUUCGGAUUCGCGGGAUUGGGAUCUCUUGGCGUACUUUUUCGUACGGUUAGUCAACAUCGGUUUUGAUUGUCAUAAAAUGACUGGAGGAAUGUAGCUUCGAUCUCGUAUUGAAGUGUUAUAGCCUUUGGUAGAUGUGAUGUUUGAGACCGAGGAUUGCAACGGAUACCCUUCAGGGCUAUUCGUCUGAUCUCUGAUACGUUGCCUUGAUGUUGAAAGCUUGCUUAUGAUGUUAGGGUAUUACGGUCAAAAGGUUAGAACGAAUUACAUUCGUUAAGGAUGUUGACGUAAUGACUUUAAACGA